UACGUAGGGUGCGAGCGUUAAUCGGAAUUACUGGGCGUAAAGUGUGCGCAGGCGGCAGAGCAAGUCGAGUGUGAAAACCCCGAGCUUAACUUGGGAAUUGCGCUCGAAACUACUUUGCUGGAGUGUGGCAGAGGAAGGUGGAAUUCCACGUGUAGCGGUGAAAUGCGUAGAGAUGUGGAGGAACACCAAUGGCGAAGGCAGCCUUCUGGGCCAACACUGACGCUCAUGCACGAAAGCGUGGGGAGCAAACAGG
rnacentral:rRNA from 1 species